GUCCAAGAACCAAAAAAGUGGUACGGGUACCAAUUUUAUCCGUGCCGUACCAAAAAUUGAGCGUAGUGUAAACGGGGCUCAAGAGUACCAAUUGUAUCCGUGCCGUACCAAAAAUUGAGCGUAGUGUAAACAGGGCUUUAAUUAACCAUAAUCCUAACUCUAAACCUAACCCUUACUCUCUAAUUCCAACCAUAAUCUUAAUCCUAACCUUUCCCCUAAUCCAAACCUUCCCCUAAUCCAAACCUUAAUCCUAAUGUCUAAAAAUAAUAACUCGCCCUAAAACGUGACUCAUAUGAGAAUUAUUACAGUGUUUAAAAUACUUCCGUAAUAUAUACGUGACGUAAUAUAAAGUUUAAAUAUUACAAGCAUAUGAGACGAAAAUUACGUUAAUUUAAUUAUACUUUUUGGAAAUGACUUUUUAAAUAUUAGAGUAUAAUAAUUAACAGUUAUUCUACGAACUCGAG